GUAGGUGGCAAGCGUUGUCCGGGAAUUAUUGGGGCGUAAAGCGCGCGCAGGCGGUUCUUUAAGUCUGAUGUGAAAGCCCACGGGCUCAACCGUGGAGGGUCAUUGGAAACUGGAGAACUUGAGUACAGAAGAGGAAAGCGGAAUUCCACGUGUAGCGGUGAAAUGCGUAGAGAUGUGGAGGAACACCAGUGGCGAAGGCGGCUUUCUGGUCUGUAACUGACGCUGAGGCGCGAAAGCGUGGGGAGCAAACAGGAUUAGAUACCCUGGUAGUCCACGCCGUAAACGAUGAGUGCUGAGUGUUAGGGGGUUUCCGCCCCUUAGUGCUGCAGCUAACGCAUUAAGCACUCCGCCUGGGGAGUACGGCCGCAAAGGCUGA
rnacentral:rRNA from 1 species